GACGAACGCUGGCGGCGUGCUUAACACAUGCAAGUCGAACGGAAAGGCCCUGCUUUUGUGGGGUGCUCGAGUGGCGAACGGGUGAGUAACACGUGAGUAACCUGCCCUUGACUUUGGGAUAACUUCAGGAAACUGGGGCUAAUACCGGAUAGGAGCUCCUGCUGCAUGGUGGGGGUGGGAAAGUUUCGGCGGUUGGGGAUGGACUCGCGGCUUAUCAGCUUGUUGGUGGGGUAGUGGCUUACCAAGGCUUUGACGGGUAGCCGGCCUGGGAGGGUGACCGGCCACAUUGGGACUGAGAUACGGCACAGACUCCUACGGGAGGCAGCAGUGGAGAAUAUUGCACAAUGGGCGGAAGCCUGAUGCAGCAACGCAGCGUGCGGGAUGACGGCAUUCGGGUUGUAAACCGCUUUCGCCUGUGACGAAGCGUGAGUGACGGUAAUGGGUAAAGAAGCACCGGCUAACUACGUG
rnacentral:rRNA from 1 species